AACGAACGCUGGCGGCAUGCCUAACACAUGCAAGUCGAACGAGACCUUCGGGUCUAGUGGCGCACGGGUGCGUAACGCGUGGGAACCUGCCUUUAGGUUCGGAAUAACUCAGAGAAAUUUGAGCUAAUACCGGAUGAUGUCUUCGGACCAAAGAUUUAUCGCCUUUGGAUGGGCCCGCGUUGGAUUAGCUAGUUGGUGGGGUAAAGGCCUACCAAGGCGACGAUCCAUAGCUGGUCUGAGAGGAUGAUCAGCCACACUGGGACUGAGACACGGCCCAGACUCCUACGGGAGGCAGCAGUGGGGAAUAUUGGACAAUGGGCGAAAGCCUGAUCCAGCACUGCCGCGUGAGUGAUGAAGGCCUUAGGGUUGUAAAGCUCUUUUACCCGAGAUGAUAAUGACAGUAUCGGGAGAAUAAGCACCGGCUAACUCCGUG
rnacentral:rRNA from 1 species